CGUAGGUGGCAAGCGUUAUCCGGAAUUAUUGGGCGUAAAGCGCGCGCAGGCGGUUCUUAAGUCUGAUGUGAAAGCCCACGGCUCAACCGUGGAGGUCAUUGGAAACUGGGGAACUUGAGUACAGAAGAGAAAGCGGAAUUCCACGUGUAGCGGUGAAAUGCGUAGAGAUGUGGAGGAACACCAGUGGCGAAGGCGGCUUUUGGUCUGUAACUGACGCUGAGGCGCGAAAGCGUGGGGAGCAAACAGGAUU
rnacentral:rRNA from 1 species